AGACUGUACCUUAGGAGGAAGCCCCGGCUAACUACGUGCCAGCAGCCGCGGUAAUACGUAGGGGGCAAGCGUUGUCCGGAAUGAUUGGGCGUAAAGGGCGCGUAGGCGGCCCGGUAAGUCUGGAGUGAAAGUCCUGCCUUCAAGGUGGGAAUUGCUUUGGAUACUGUCGGGCUUGAGUGCAGGAGAGGUUAGUGGAAUUCCCAGUGUAGCGGUGAAAUGCGUAGAUAUUAGGAGGAACACCAGUGGCGAAGGCGGCUUACUGGACUGUAACUGACGUUGAGGCUCGAAAGCGUGGGGAGCAAACAGGAUUAGAUACCCUG
rnacentral:rRNA from 1 species